UGGGGAAUAUUGGACAAUGGGCGAAAGCCUGAUCCAGCCAUGCCGCGUGUGUGAAGAAGGUCUUCGGAUUGUAAAGCACUUUAAGUUGGGAGUAAGGGCAGUAAGCGAAUACCUUGCUGUUUUGACGUUACCGACAGAAUAAGCACCGGCUAACUCUGUGCCAGCAGCCGCGGUAAUACAGAGGGUGCAAGCGUUAAUCGGAAUUACUGGGCGUAAAGCGCGCGUAGGUGGUUCGUUAAGUUGGAUGUGAAAGCCCCGGGCUCAACCUGGGAACUGCAUCCAAAACUGGCGAGCUAGAGUAGGGCAGAGGGUGGUGGAAUUUCCUGUGUAGCGGUGAAAUGCGUAGAUAUAGAAAGGAACACCAGUGGCGAAGGCGACCACCUGGGCUCAUACUGACACUGAGGUGCGAAAGCGUGGGGAGCAAACAGG
rnacentral:rRNA from 1 species